CCAUUUCCUCUUCUCGUCUCUCUCACCGUCCACCUCAGCCGCCGCCGUAAAUCGCCCAUGGCGGCGGCCCGUCACCAAAUCUACUCAAUGUACGACUCUACACUACCCUCUUCUUCCUCAUUCCUAAUCUUUUAACCUUUGCCUUUGAAACUCACUAGAAAUCGUCCAAUAGUAUAUCUAAAAUUCAAAAAAAAAAAACCCUAAUCUGUUUUUUAUUGAUUCCUUCUCAAAGACAACUCGUUCUGACUCGAAACCUACGUUGAUCGAUUGCUAUUGUCAAGAUCAAUCGAUUGAUGUUGGUUUUGGUUCAUUCCGAGAUCACUGGAAUCCGGUCAAGUCGCCGUUGACCGGCCGGAAGCUUAAUGUUCCUAUGUCCUAGAAGCCGUUUGUCUUAAUAGCACCAUCCCAGCCUAACUUUUAUUGGUGGAGAUGACAUAUUCAUGGACCGGUACAAUAGAGAAUCACAGGUAGCUCUAUUUUCAAUUAGACAUGGAGCAAGUGUGGAUGCUGAGAACAAGGAUGCAUAGUGCCUGAACAAGCUUUAGAUGAAGCCACCAUUAUUGAUUCUGGUAAAUCAGUGCCACCACUUGGUGUCAUUAGCCAAUCAAUAUAUUCAAGCCGAACUAUGUAAUGAUUGAUGUGAGGGUCCAGCUGCGCCAUUGGAGUUUUCAAGGAGGUGGGUAACAGUUCUCAGCGUCUCUUUUGUUCUUUUGUGUCGCAUAACUCAAGUGAUGUUUGUUCUUAUAUCUCACAGAAUUCAAGUGAGAGUUAGCAAUUUCUUCAACAAUUCUAAACAGAGGAGUUGCUCUUAGAGUUAGGGAGCGAGUGGAAUAAACGAGUUCACUACGCUGGAUAAGAAGUAUAGUAUACGAAGCGAUCACUUGAGCAAAGGAGUGUAAUAGGCAGAAAGGACUACUAGAGCUAUAUGCUUUAAGAAUGAGUGGAGUACCUGAAACAAGAGAGGGUAGGUAGAGCACUUUCCCCUUUUAAGAUUUGCUUUCUCGAUCCUCUACUAUCUUACUAACGGGAAAGGUCGCAAAGACUGAAGCUGCCACACCAAUAUCUAUCUAAGAAAGCAGUAAUAGAGCACGCAACGAUGAAAACAAGAGGAGCAUCCAGUCGAAUCAAUUAUAUCAUUUUUAGGAGCAGAAGAUACUCAGUUUUUUAUGUGAAAUCAAGGGGCAGCAGGUUACACUCUACACUUUCCGGAAGAGAGCUCAAAGCAAUAAGAUGAAAGAUGAGAUGAGAUGCUAGCCUUAGCACAGAAAAUAAAUCAUUGAACCUUAGGCCACUACCGAGCAGCAAUGGGCGAUCAUAACUGCCUGUACUGCCAAGAUGAUCCCUCCUUGAAAAGGCGGAGACAAAUUGUUGCGACAAAUGGAGUUUCAAAAGCCUUGUAUCAAUUAUAACCUAAUUUCGGCAUAAAUACUGGGCCAAGUUAUUUAGCGUAGUGGGAAGGAGAAGGUAGGAAUCCCCUUAUAGGAACAAUAAUAUCUUUUUUUCAUUCCCAAGGUAGACUUUUAACUCGUACAUUUUAUGCUUCCUCAUCACUGUUUGGAAGGAGUACUUGCCGAGCUGAGAAGUAAAAGCUCUCGUUACUAUAAUAACUCAAGUGAUAUUUUUUCUUAUAUCUCACAAAAUUCAAGUGCUGUCAAUUUGUUUCUCAGCUGUUCUUAGUAUUUUUUGUGAAGUAUGGACUUUGAGAUGGAAAGUAAAGAACUAGAAAUGAGUUAAUAAUGUCAUGCUUCUUUGCUGGCAAAAGGGGCUUAUAGAGGUUUGGUUAGAAAUAAAAAGUGAAUGCCUUUGGAAACAACUAAUUAUAGGAGCCAUAAAAGUAGUAUGUCAACACAUGACCUUUACAUUAACAAGUUUGUACAGUAUAUUAUACAGAAAUCUAGCAAAAGCAACUUUGAAUUAAGUGAAUCGAAGGUAUUUACAUUUUUUGUAAUCAUAUCUCUGGUAGAAAUUUUACUUUCCGGCUAAACCUUUUCCAAUCAUGAUAAUCUUUUUUCUCUUUCUAUAUCACUAAUGACAUACCAUUACUAUAUAAAUACUAUGAAAGAGUAUUCUUGUUAGAAACUUUAACUCAUUUUCAGUUUAUGGAGGGCUUUUUCAUAUUUGCUGAGCUUUAUAUGUGAAGUUAACAUAAACUUCUAUUUCAGAAAGCGAGCGAGGUAACUUUGUGCUGCUGCUUCUGCUCGACCUUUGUCACUAUUUCCCUGACUGUCCUUUGUUUGCACAUAAACGUGGACGAGGAGUCAUUGUUUCCGAGAAAAAUGUGAGAAUGAUAUCUCUCGUGUAAUGACUCACCGUGGGCAUUCACUUAUCUAACAAAAUGAAAUGUGAAUCCAUUAAUUUCAAGCACAUUUGUACAAAAUCAAAGUGAUUGUUAUAAUUUCAAGCACAUCUCUCUCUCUCUCUCUCUCUGCAAUUAAUGCUCCUGUAGGUUCUUUAUAUAUGUUUUAUGGGUUGCGCUAUGUGCGAUUCUUUAGAACACUGCGUGUGGUGAUAUAUACACAUUCAAAGUGAUUCUUAAAUCAUGGAUUAUAUUAUUUCUGAUGUAGAGUCGAGUCCAAUCCGUUUUUAAACUCCUUAUAUUCUUGAUCUAUGAGUUACCAGAGAGUGCCUUCUGAUGGUUAUUCCAGGUAUCUAUCUUAUCCUUUAUUUCAUUCAAAGUCCAUGUCAGUUAUUCCGCUGGAGGAAACAUGUAGGAAGAAAGUUGUUACUCACAGAAUGACACUGUUGUGUCCAGUAGCUCCUUUUUCUCUUUCUCAGAUGUAUUUUUUGCUUAUCAAUGACCUAAUUAUUUCAGCUGCUCUUGAGCCUACACUUUGUAUUUGCAUUGGCACGGUUGAGCUUGAUGCAUGUUUUUGGCAUUCAAAAUGGGUUGAUAAUUGAGCUCUCUUGUUUAAAGUUUAUAACGUAUUUCAAUUGAAACAGUCAAAAGGGUUGACAAGAUUAGUGGUGACAGAAUUGACUUGAGCAGGAAAGAGGACGAGUUACAAAACUCACAUCUAUAGUAGGUUUCGCCAUGAAAUGGAAGCAAAUGAAAAGGAGAUAUGGGGAUGGUUUCUGCUGCUGGAGAAUGAGUAUUUUUCUUCCAUGCCUACACCUGGAAAGCUGAUUGGCUGCCUUUUGAAAAUCUGGAAUAGGCUAUAAUAUGGAAUUACAAUUGAACCAUAUUUACUGGUUUAUUCUUUUUUUUUCUUUCAAAUUAAUUGGUUUAUUUAUUUUUAUUUUAUUUCUAAUGAUAGACUUGCGAAGCUAUUUAAAUCC